CCAAAUAGCUAUAUGGAAUCAAAUAAAAAAUCAAUUGAAUUAAUGUAGGACCUACUGUAUUGUCUAUGAAGCUAAAAAGCUCAAAUAAACUAGACAACAAGAUGAUCAAAAUUGUUAUAUUUAUAUUUCUUUGUAGAUGGAUAUACAACAUUUUUUUCAUGUCACAUGGGAGUAGGUCUGCAAAUGAGCAGCAGUCAGAAAAGUCUGCAAAAAGAGAGUGAAGUCAAGGCAGAGCACACUGAAAGAAGGCACAGUAGAGAAAAGGCAAGAUCAUGAUCCAGUACAGGGACAGAGAAAGCAUGAAGCAGAAGAAGACACGAGUCAGGAGAGAGAAGGAUAGAUAUGCAGAGAAGUAAGUUUAAAGUUAUGUUGUUUUCUGGUUACAUUUUUCUGUUUGUACUUGAGCAUAGAGGUUUGUGCUAAAUGCAAACAGUAACAUUUUGUAUGUACAGUGAACAGGUGUGUGUGACUGAGUGUGUGUGAGUGAGCGAGAUCAGGAAGACUUGUAUUUGGCUUAUUCAGAACUCAAAUGUUAUACCCAUUUAUGUAAUACAAUGGAAUACUGGAAUAAGUUUUAAUA